GCCGAGGUACGCAGCGGUUCAUGCGGGAAGAGUCUGGAAAGCAUGACCGGAUCGCCGUCGACCAGGCGUUGCCGAGCUUCAGGUUCGGCAGCGGCCAGGUCGAGGGUGCCGACCUUGAGGUCCCGGAAGGACAACAGCGGAUCACGGCCGCCCAGUGCGGAGAGUUCGUCCCUCCAUUGCUCCACCGCCUCGCCGACGCCAUCACUGUGUCUCACCCUGCCGAGGGUAGUUCAGCUAUCGGCCGAGAGCGACGCGGACAGGCCGUGGACAGGCAAAAGACAGUGGAUCGGGU
rnacentral:misc_RNA from 1 species